UGAUGAGCCCAUCUCACGCUGAGAUCCCCUUUCUCCUUUCCGCGGAGAACAAACUCUAAUCUUUCUCCUUUCUCGAUGUCGAUUGAUUUCCUCUUCCUCUUUUUCGUUUAUUAUGUUUACGAAUCUUCCCCAUGAACAAUCAAUUCUCUCCCCACUUCUCUUCACUCUUUAAUUCCAUUAAUGGAUUCUUUUCGCUUUCUUCCUUUGAGAUUCUAUAUAAGAUCUCAUUCUGGGUGUUUUGAUUUUCAUCAGAAGUUUUUCUAUCCUCUCGACUGUGCAUUGCGAUGAAGUUAUCCGGUGUUCCCGACUCAGUGAAAACGAACGGCGAAGCGGCGGUCCCCUCAACUCCGGUUAAACCCGUCGUCCAAAUCGGUGUCUCUUCUGGUUAAACUCAUUUUUGUUAUCUGAAUUUCACAGACCAAAGCAGAGAAGAAGAUCCUUACAGAGGAGGAACUUGAGCAGAAGAAGAAGGAUGACAAGAUUGCAAAUCGUUUCAUGGAUAGAGGCGUGAGCAAAGUAAUUUUGGCUAACUGUUUGCAUUUGAGUUGAAAAACCAAUAGCUUCCGAAUUCUAGCUGGUGAUUUUGGAGUUGGGUCUAAACAGCUUAGUAAUGUGAAAAGAUCACAACUUGCUUCUCUGCAGCAAUAUAAAAGUUAAGUUCUCUGGUCUCUUUUGUUGGCAUUUCUGUAUUUUAUCAUUUUGGUCUCCACUAUUGUUUUUAUUGGUGGAAGAUUGCAUCUGGUCUUAUAUAAUCUACACAAAUACAGACAAAUGUAUCUUGAUUCAGCGGAGAAGUUGAUGAUUUGCUAAAGAUCAAGAACACUUAUGCCUCAAACACCUAUUGUCCUAUCCUCUCAAGAAAGAGAAAGGGUUUAUGCUAUGUAUAAUACAUCUAUCUUAUUAAAGGUGAAGUACAAAUUCGGUGCGUUUGGAUACUUGGAUAAGAUUAAUAAAAAAAUUUGGUGUGUUUGGUUA